rnacentral:lncRNA from 1 species
GGGGGUCUUUUCUAGGGCCGUUCCUGAGGCAUAUGGAGAUUCCCAGGCUAGGGGUCUAAUCGGAGUUGUAGCCACUGGCCUAUGCCAGAGCCACAGUAACAAGGGAUCCAAGCCAUGUCUGCAACCUACACCACAGCUCACGGCAAUGCCAGAUCCUUAACCCACUGAGCAAGGCCAGGGAUCGAACCCUCAAAACCUCAUGGUUCCUAGUUGGAUUCGCUAACCACUGAGCCACGACGGGAACUCCUCAAAGGGAAUGUUUUAAACUAACCAAAGAUUAUCACCAACAUGCUCACAUUUGGGGUUCAUUUUAAAUUAAAAAUUCCACAUAGUAAGUGCAUAUCUUCAUUUAUUUAUUUAUUUGCUUUUUUAGGGCCACACCCGUGGCAUAUGUAAGUUCCCAGGCUAGGGGUUGAAUCAGAGCUGCAGCUGCCACCCCAUACCACAGCCACAGCAACGUGGCGUCUGGGCUGUGUCUGUGACCUACACCACAGCUCAUAGCAACACCAGAUUCCUAACCCACUGAGCGAGGCCAGGGAUUGAACCGGCAUCCUCAUUAAUACUAGUCGGGUUCCUUAACCAUUGAGCCACGAAGGGAACUCCCGCAUUUCUUUUUAAAAUUUUAUUUUAUAAGUUUGGAAAUACAAUCAAACAAAUGAAAAUAUGGGGGUAGAGUUCUUUUCCAAACUCCUGCUGUUCACACUUUUCUCUAAGAUGUACUUUGAAGCAGUCAAGAAUUAUGGCUUCAACAUGCCGCAGCCAUCCUGGUAUUCCUCAGCCAGCUUUAAACACAAAUAAGAGGGGCUGUUAGCCUGAGGCAAGGCAACUCCCAUUGCGUUGGCAUCAUUGCUACAACUACAGGCUAUUCCGCAGUGCCAGGCUCCACGUUCUUUCUAGCUACUUGAAUGAAGCUAAGUGUUUUCCCACAGGAGGCAUGUGAUGGAGAGCCCAGGUGUAUGGCCCUAGGAAUGAGGUUGGCCACAUUCUGAGUAGGGCCUGAUUCUGUGAUCAGCCAUAGCAGGGCCAGCCCUAAAGGAGCAGGUUGGGCAGCAGCCAACCUUAAGGACCCUGCAGGCAGCAGACAAGGGAACAGUAGCAGCGGGAGGGGGAACACCCAGGCAUGGAAUAGGAAUAGGCAGCUGCCAUUUGCAAUCUGCAACUUCCAGCUCAGGACAGUGCACCAGCUCCAGUGUACACUUACUCUCCAACAUGUUUCUUGGGCAAUUAUUUAGAAAAAAUAAUUUUGGAAAGGAGCUACUUUCAGUGUUAGACUAUAGUUGUCCAAGCCAUUUGAGGUGGUAUGCAGUUUUUGCAGUAUAAAGCAAAAAUCUCAGUAAUUAUUAUCUAAGGAUUAUUAAUAGCAGCCUAGUCAGUACAUGAUUCAGCUGAGGGUGAGAUGCCUAAGGCAAAAGGUAGAUUUAAAAAUGCCAUCAUACUGAAUUGUUUAAGUGUUUAUGAUUCACUACACUUUAAGCUGACAUGGAAGCAAAUCCAUACAUUAACCAAAUGGUUGUUUUUCCAUUUCUAAACUUUUUCAUUCUUUAAAAAAAAUUUUUUUUGGCUAUGCCUGAGGCAUGUGGAAGUUCCCAGGCCAGGGAUCGAAUAACAUGUCACAGCAGUGACCCAAGCCACUGCAGUGACAAUGCUGCACCACAAGGGAACUCCUUAAACUUUAUUCUUUUGAAUUUUAUCUCUUUGCUUAUUCCAUUUCAUUCUGUUUGACUAAAAUCAUUAAUGUGAUCCUGUAUUAUAUAUCAUUCAUUUGUGUGGGAGGCACCUAGACCCUCUGAGAAAAACAAUUAAAAGCUAUGUGAUCUGUAAUUGUUUAUUUAAUGACCAAUGUAUUUUUGAGUGCCUUCUGUGUGGCAGCCCUCUGAAAGGCACUGAGACUAAACAGACAAGAAAAGCAUCAUACUGAGAUGCUGGGUCAUGGAAUUAAAUGUCUCUUUCCCAGUAUCAUUUGCUACUCUGAUGAUUGGGUUCCAUUUUUAGAACAUUUGGAGGCUCAUGGAUAAUUGGAUAUUUUCAUAAACCCUAUUAAAUUGCAUAAUUUUAAAUUUCUAUGAUGAAAAACCAUGUAAGUCACAAAUCAUGAAUUAUUGUGAGUUAUAAUAAUAGGCAAAACUAAAAAUAUUCUUGCCUCAGACCCAUGUUUUCUGAAGUUAAUAAUGGGUGUUUUUGAGAGCACCCUCAAUGCACUUUUUAAUUUUCAAUCAGCAGAUAACAACACUUGAAUUCAAAGCAAAGUUACAUUGGUGCUCUGUUUAACACCAUGACAAGCACACUCCAAGCUUCCAGAAAAUGACUCAAGUGAAAACUGAACACAUUCCCACUGAGGAUUCUCUAAUCUGUCUUAGAAGGGGGAACACUGUGGUUCUUUGGUCAAGUACUUUUAAUUGAACAAAGUAGAGACAGCUUUUACCCUUCCUCAAUGUACUCACAAACAAUUGGCCUUUUAUUUUUUCUAUUCAGUAUCAUAUUAAACAAUCUGAAAUUUUCAUUUUCAAUAAUGAAAAUGAGAUUUUUAUUCUCUGAUUAACUUUUCUCAGAAGCAUUGUAAUGAAGUUAAUUUGAUUUACUGCAAUUUACAGUAUAUAUUGCUGCAGGCACUAAGCUAUCCACUGCCUUCCAUAAAAUCAAGACCACGCAGAAAAAAUACCUCCAUACAACUCAGAGAUGUAAAAAAAGGAAACAUUCCUGGAUGUAAGAUGGAUAUAUGCAUUUUUUUAAAAUGCUCAUCAUCAGUGGAAGGUAUGAUCAUCCUGAUGUUUGUAUUUGUGUGCAAGAUCAAUACAGCUGUAAAAUAGCAAAUACGUAUCUGAAGUAGUAUUUUAACAGCAGAGGAGGUUUUUAUUUUCUAGACUCCAUGUAUGAUUUCAGGUGAAAUGCUCAUUAGGAUUUUAGAGUUUGGGUGCAUAAAAGUUGACUCACUUACUUUCAAUAAUCUGAAAAGAGAGCAAAUAAAAACCAGAAAUUUGGGCUAAAAGAAGGAAAAGCCAAUUAAAUCCUCAACACUGCACUUAGCAAUGCUUUAAAUUCCUGAUUAAUAAUCCAUAAUAAAAAAUCCUGAGUGGAAGAUACUUUUACAAACGUCUCAAAUUACUAGUAACCUCUUCAUAUUAUAUGUGACCCUCUGAUUGAAUGUUUUCCUCUCCUAUCAAAGCAACCAGGGGAAAACCCACAAAAUACCAAAGUUCAACCUGCAUGAAAAAUCUAUUUGAUUUUUUUUAACCAUGAAAUUUGUAAUUUGAAAGUCCAAAAGAGAAUCUUCAGGCCCAGAAAGUACCAUACCAAACAUUUAAAAAAUUAAUGUCAGUUUUACAUAAUCUUGUCCAGAAAAUAGAAGAAAAGGGGGGCACUUCUCAUCUCUUUUGUAAAACCAGUAUUACCCCAACACCAAAACCAGGCAAAGACAGUACAGAAAGGAAACCUACACACCAAUCUCUCUCAAGAACUUAGAUGCGGAAUCCUCAACAAAAUAUUAACAAAUCAAACGCAACAAUGUGUAAAAAGCAUAUAACAUAACCAAGUGCAAUUUAUUCCAUAUAUGCAAGGCCAAUUAAAUAUUAAAAAAAUCAAUGUAAUCCACCAUAUAAACAAGCCUAAAGAAGAAAAAAAAAAGAGACAAAAACAAUGAUAGUAUCAGCUGACACAGGAAAAGCAUUUGACAAAGUCUAAUCCCACUCCAAAUAGCCAGAAAGCCCUGCUUUGGGAUCUGGUAGUGUUGACGGAACUCUCAGCCAGUUUUCCCAUUCUUGAUAUUCUCCCCAUUGGGCUGCACUUUGCAGGCCUAUUAGCCUUGUAGUUGCCCAGCCUCAAGACUGAAGAAAGAGCCCAGGGACAGUGACAGACACAUCAAUGGCUUAUUGGCAAGGGGAUCUUACAUGUCUAAAGCAAAAGGUCCUGGAGCAAACAUUCCAUGGCAGACAGCAACCCACUGCAACGAGGACCUGGCAGUGGGGGAGAAGGAGGCUACCAUUUAUAGGAGGAACAGACAUCAGGUUGGCUUAUCAGUUACCAAGGAAACCAGCAGCUGGGGCACAUCCCUCAGGUUAACAACCCUCAGGACCAUCAUGAGGGCAGAUGUUCCCCGUUAAUAAACUAGCAUGUGGAGUCAUUCUGGCCUAAGGAUUAGAAUAAUCACUAGCGGGGGAAGGGUGAAUUUUAAAAGAAAUACAUGGAUAGAAAUGGUGUAAAUUGAACACAGAUUUAUUGCGUCAUAAUUUCCCGUCAUCUAUUAGAAAUGCGAUUUUUUUCACAUGAGGAAAAUAGUAUUUUUUCUAAAAUAAUGUAGUUGGAAAGCUCAUAAUUACUCCUAUGGUAUACACUUUACUGGACUAAGCUAAUAAAUGCCAUGGUACUUCUGUUCCCAAGAUCUACUAUUAUACACUAACAUCUGAAUGAACACACUCAUUAUAUAGCCAGGAUAGCAAUUUCCACAUCUAGUGCUAAUGUACUUCCUGGCUAAAGCUGAAACUCUUAGGAGCAAUUAACUAAUUCAUGAAUUAAUAUUGUUUGGACAUUAGCCUUUAGAACUAAAUGGGGUAAUGUAUGUAAAGGGCUUAGCACAUUUCCUGCAUCAAGUCAGUACUCAAAUGAUAGCCAUUAGUAUCAGUAUUAUAAACUAAUGAUAUCAUGUGGUUUUCUACAUUGAUUAAUGCUGCUUGUAAAAAAAAUUUUUUUAAUGUAAAGCAUAUUCACACUAUACAUGUCUCAAAUUCAUUCUCAAAUAUAUGGUCCUAUAUGACAGAAACACUUUCAUGCUCUCACAAGUCUAAUCACUACUCCAUCAAUCGAAAGCUCAGUUACAACAUUUACUAACAAUUUUUCCCCGUAGUGGACUUCAGCCAUAUACAUGAUCAUGCAAUAUAUAUGCAUGUCAGUAAAAGCAAACGCUCCUAGCUAGUGCCUCCCUUAAAGCCUUUGCUGUAGAAAACUGUAUCGGUUGUGUACUGUGGAGAGCAGAUACCGAGACAUAGAGUUAGG